GCUGGGGUGGCAGAGACCGGCUUAUUGCAAAAGGUCUAAGCCCUUUAUACAGAGGUUCAAGUCCUCUCCCCAGCU
rnacentral:tRNA from 1 species